GCCGUGGGCCGCAGGCCGCCGGAGCCGCCCUUCGCUGCGGGCCGCGAUCGCCGUCGCGCCCUUCGCCACAGGUCGCUGCCGCGCCCUCCGCUUCUAUUUCACGCUCGCCGACGGGCCAACCACCACCGCCACGGGAAGCCCCGAUGAGAUCGCCAAGCUGUUCCCCAACUUGUACGGCCAGCCUUCGGCCGAGCCGGCCGCAAUGAAGUUGCUCAAGAUCAGUCGUCGUGCUUUCUGGUGGCUAGGCUCUAGGGGGGCAGAAUGUGAUCUGUGAUGUCUCUG
rnacentral:rRNA from 1 species